AUCCUCUUUGUCCCUUAGUGAGGGGCACUACGGAGGGGAACUUCAGGCAGCCCAGAGUUGAUCCUUUCCUCCCUUUGCCCCAAACUCCUCUGAAGUCAUGGCUUUCAUGUUGACCUCUCCUCUUUGUCCUCUUCCUCUUAAGGUCCAGG